rnacentral:rRNA from 1 species
UUAAGUCCCGUAACGAGCGCAACCCUUGUCCUUAGUUACCAGCACGUUAUGGUGGGCACUCUAAGGAGACUGCCGGUGACAAACCGGAGGAAGGUGGGGAUGACGUCAAGUCAUCAUGGCCCUUACGGCCUGGGCUACACACGUGCUACAAUGGUCGGUACAAAGGGUUGCCAAGCCGCGAGGUGGAGCUAAUCCCAUAAAACCGAUCGUAGUCCGGAUCGCAGUCUGCAACUCCGACUGCGUGAAGUCGGAAUCGCUAGUAAUCGUGAAUCAGAAUGUCACGGUGAAUACGUUCCCGGGCCUU